UUAAGCUCAUGGGGGAAAUCUCUAUAUAGGAUUUAUUCGUAAAUUUAAUGAUCGCGCGCGUAAAGUAAUUCUGCCAGUCUGCAACGCAAUCCUGCUUGAGAAAGGAUCGAAAGGACCUCCUCCGGUAGCCCCUACUACCCGCUUUCCACGAUGCUGCGCGAGAUGAACGGAGGUCCUAUUUCCGGCCGAUAUUUAAAUCCGAGGGGGACCGAAUCCGCUCGACCUUAACCGAAGCGUUCGGGUCCGGCUGUCACAUUCGUGGCGUACCGAAUGCUCGUCUCUCGUGGCGGCGACGGCGGCGGCGUAACGCGUUAAUGAAAAUGGCAACGCGUCUCGACGCCAUGUGCCAGCCUCAACGGAAUACGUACGGCCGCAAAUUGCGCUGCUUUAUCAAUCUGAAAUAACAUCGGCGCGGAACAAUUAGCGACGACGCGAAACUUACGAGGACUUUAUCGACCAACGGAAGGAUCACGUUACGGUAUGGCUGGCAAAUAUUUUCAGUUUGCAAGCAGAGGAUAGCGAAAGCAUUAAUUCGCAAAGCAAAUCACAUAGCACACGCAGCAAUUUAGAAAUACACAGGGAACCUUCAAAAUAGUCCAAUGAAAAAUAUUUCUGAAAAAAAAAACAGUGCAUUUAGUCUGUUAAGUCUGCUGCAAAAUUGUGUUAAUAAAAGAACAUUGUGAUAAAGAAAUAUAUUUUUAGGAGAUA